AGCCAUUCAUACAAUAUACACUAUAUGCAUUUGCCAAGAGGCAAGAGUUUUUGAAGGAGACAUACAGUCACAGAAACAGACUGGCUGUUGUGAAAUGGAUGGAUGGCUGCUAAUGAUUCACUUAAACAAGUCCUCAGUCCUGAUAUUUGUCUCUAGCAGUAAAUGUUGACAAACUUGAAUUUACUCUCCCUUGUUAUGGGAAUGUUAUAUACAGGAAAAGCUGUCUUAAGCAACCACCCAAGGGACCAAUGAAAAUUGGUUGCUGAGUACAGACAGUCUUUAACUGAAGGUCAAACAAAAUUACAAAGGCAACCAUACAGUACUUUAAAACGGCCAUUUAAGAUAGAAGGUUGUCUUUAAUACAGGUUUCAUUGUUUAUAAUAUCACAGAAUAUGAUUAUAGUCUGUAUUGUUUUGCUUUGUUUUAUGUUUUGAUGCUCUAUAUUACAGAUGGAAAAAUCUCUUCUGGAUGUUGCUACUUACACUUUAUACAGAGAAAGUAUGUUCCUCUGAUUGUAGACUUUUGUUAUUUCUGACCUGAGGAGCUCAGAUGCUAUGGUGUUGUGACCAUGUAAAUACCUGGAUUAAUAGAGAGCUUUCCAUCUAAGGUCCCUGACUUCAAUUGGGUACAGGAUCAGACCCAGACAGACUUUAGUCUGGCACUAUUUAAAUAGCUUCAGCAAUUUUCUCAAGUCCCAGUCUCUCAAAAGAUCACCCAACACUCUUGAAGCGGGUAUAGUCAUCUGUUCCGAACACCUACCAACUUCCCUGUGAGAAUCAUCUUCAACUUUGACCCAAGCGGGAUGGAAGAGACACCCUCCACCCCACCCCAGAAGACUAAAACACAAUGUCUGGAUGGUGUCAGGUAUCCUGCCACAUAGCGCACCAGAUUCAGCUCCAGACAGAACAUCAUGGAGGCACAUAACAUGUUUGGUGGCCUCUAUGUUGUUCAGACAUGAAACAGCAUGAGAACUAACCAACCAACUAACCAAUAAAACUUGUAGUAUAUUGCAAAUGGCUUCCUCUGGUUAAAAGUUAGGAGCAUACAUAGCUUUACAUAGCACUCAACAACAUACCUUAUUUUUAGGCUCUGAUUCUGCAAAUGUAUACACAUGUGCAUAAUUUGAAGUCAAUGUUGCUAUUUACAUGCAUAAAGUUAAGCACAUGCAGAACGUUUGCAGGACCAGGGCCUUAAUGCUCAAGUGUAGAGGACUUCAAAGAAGUCAAAUUGUUGCCUCAUGACAGCAGUGUAUAUUACUCAUUCCCAUAGUAAACUCCACCUUUCUGGGACUUAUAACUCUGGCAUUUAGGCUCAGAAUACAGGAUGGCAGGCCAAAUGCUUGUAUCUUUUCUAGAAAAAAAGAAUUUAAUGCAGCUACACGUUCUUUACCUAAAGCUACAAAAUAGUAUCAUUUUAAAUUGAAAUUUUGCAGCCACUUAUAACAACACUUUGCACUAUUAUAUGCCAUUUUUUCAAGGAACUCAGAGCACUUUACAGAUAUUAAGAGCUAGCUGGUGGUUUUUCACUUUACCCUGUGUAAGGAGUGAUGCAUAGCUGCACCAUUCUAAGAACACCCCAAGGGAAUGAAUCGUGCCUCAAAGACCUGUUGUACUCACACAUGAAAACGCAUGAACUCAAACUGUCUAAUAUAUUUUGGCAUGGCUGCUCAUUCACUAAGAAGGAAAUAUCAUCAAGACAUAACCAAGAUCAAUCUUAUCAUGUUUCUCAGUGCAUUCCAUGUAGUUUAAUUAUCCACAUCUAUCAAUCUGCUGUGGUUUAUGUCUAUAUAGCCCAUGCAGCAUGUGUAUUUCUAAUAGUCUCUCAUACAGUUUUUAAUUUUUUCUGUCAUAUUCUCAGCUGUGGUGCCAGUUAUAUCUGCAUUCUCUUGGGUGCCGAUUCAAGACAACACUUAAGCCUAUGCUUAAAUCCCAUUGACUUAAAGUGGUAGGCUUCAGUGUGCCAAAAGUGUGUGUGUGUGUAUAAUAUAAUUUCUUAAGAUUUUUCUCUUUUUACCUAAUUAUUCAUGCUCAUUUUAAUUGCUCUGUACUGCUCCCAAUGUUGCUGAUUUGAGUUUAGGAAUACCAGCUAUGAAAGAAAUUUCUUUGUAAGAUUUGGAAGACAGGAGGAUGAGAGACAACAUUUUCUUCUGUAUUAUUAUUCUAGCCUACACUACUCAAUGCUCAAGCUGUGCUCGACCCCAAUCUCUUUUCCUUUCUGUUUCCUCCCUCUCCUCCUUCUCCUUUCUUCCCUACUGUGCUAGUAGUAAUUUGAUGCCUAUUGUGCAGGCAUAUCUCCCACCUUAGUGCAUGCUUAUCUUUCAAGUGGAGCAGAUGUUCCCAUAUGUGUGUCUUCCUUUCCUCUACUGAUGCUUUUUCUAUGCAAACAGUAGAUUGUAUUUCCAUUGCCCUUUGUAUCUAAAGGGGAAAAUAUGGUUGCUUGUACUAGGAAUUUUUUCAGGCUGAUUAUCAUUGGUACCGAUGGACAACUGGACAUACAUUUCUCUCCUACCUUCUCCCUACCCUACACCCCAUCAUUAGUUCUGGAUCCAGGUGUCUUUUAUUGCUCUUUCUUCUCUAGCUCCUGUCUCUUCCUAUGAUUCUUACUCCCAUUGUUUGCUGAACUAUUUUCUACAACUUUUCAGUCUCACAAUAUUACAAGAACAUGCAU